CAAACUGAUCGGAACAUUGAGAUCUACGAACAAUCGGACCAACCAAGAGAAGAACCAAGAGAAAUAUAGAAACCACUGACGGACUUUCGUGAAUCCGGGCAGGUUCCCCAAUCGGAAUCACAAAAGGCAAGGAGCUGGAAGGACGACGAACUGGACAUAAAGAUCCCAAGACCUGGAUCAUGGAGCAAAUAGCGAAGUACUCGUAAAGCCGCAGUAAAAUGAGGAAGACGAGGGUCCUGCAUAUACUGACUAAGGUGUUGUACAGUGAAUGAGAGAUCCGGCCUCGUGUGAGUCAGGUCAGACCACAAGACUUUUGCACUUUUGGAGUACAAAACAGAUUCAGCAAUCUCUUUUGAAAGAGAAUUCAGUAGCCAAGAUAGCACCAUAUCAUUGCAUCUUGACCAAGCUUUCUGAAAGUUUAUAUCAGUGGGAACAUCUAGGGAUCCAUCAAUGAAUCCUAGUUUGUUCUUGGCUGAUAGAGCAAUGAUAACCCCUCUUCUCCAGCCACCAUAGCUUCUACCAUCAAAGAUGGUGGAAACCAAGUUCAUCCCAGGAGAGUCUGAGGGAUGGAUGUAGAAAGCAUGUGAGGGAUCUACUGCAUUAGUUGCAGAAAUCCCUUCACUCUUUUCAGUAACACUACCAGAAGAUAUUUGAGCAUCCCCCAUGAGGAAAAAGAAAAACAAGCAAGGAAGCAGAAGCUGUAACGAGAAGGGAAGAAGAAAGACUGAAGAGCUAUUAACCUUGCUCUGAUACCAUGCAAAAAUAAAAGAUUUUAUUGGAAAAUUCUCUUUGAAUUGAUUGAUUUUCUCUGUACAAUUUACCUAUAUUUAUACAAGUA